CCUACUGGCGGCUGCAGUGGGGAAUAUUGCACAAUGGGGGAAACCCUGAUGCAGCAACGCCGCGUGAGUGAUGACGGCCUUCGGGUUGUAAAGCUCUGUCUUUAGGGACGAUAAUGACGGUACCUGAGGAGGAAGCCACGGCUAACUACGUGCCAGCAGCCGCGGUAAUGCGUAGGUGGCGAGCGUUGUCCGGCUUUACUGGGCGUAAAGGGAGCGUAGGCGGGCCUUUAAGUGAGAUGUGAAAUACUCGGGCUUAAAGUGGGUGCUGCAUUUCAAACUGGAAGUCUAGAGUGCAGGAGAGGAGAAUGGAAUUCCUAGUGUAGCGGUGAAAUGCGUAGAGAUUAGGAAGAACACCAGUGGCGAAGGCGAUUCUCUGGACUGUAACUGACGCUGAGGCUCGAAAGCGUGGGGAGCAAACAGGAUUAGAUACCCUUGUAGUC
rnacentral:rRNA from 1 species